rnacentral:rRNA from 1 species
GACGAACGCUGGCGGCGUGCUUAACACAUGCAAGUCGAACGGAAAGGCCCUGCUUUUGUGGGGUGCUCGAGUGGCGAACGGGUGAGUAACACGUGAGUAACCUGCCCUUGACUUUGGGAUAACUUCAGGAAACUGGGGCUAAUACCGGAUAGGAGCUCCUGCUGCAUGGUGGGGGUUGGAAAGUUUCGGCGGUUGGGGAUGGACUCGCGGCUUAUCAGCUUGUUGGUGGGGUAGUGGCUUACCAAGGCUUUGACGGGUAGCCGGCCUGAGAGGGUGACCGGCCACAUUGGGACUGAGAUAAGGCCCAGACUCAUACGGGAGGCAGCAGUGGGGAAUAGUGCACAGUGGGCGGAAGCCAGAUGCAGCAACGCCGCGUGGGGGAUGACAGCCUUCGGGUUGUAAACCGCUUUCGCCUGUGACGAAGCGUGAGUGACGGUAAUGGGUAAAGAAGCACCGGCUAACUACGUG